GGAUCUUUAGUAUUUCAGAUUAUCAGAAACCUUAAUUUUGCACUUUGAUCAUCUCAGAUCAAAGGGGCUUAUAAAGAUAUUUCUUUCAGCAAGCAAAUGAGAAACCACUAGUGGUUGGUUGCAGAGCCAGGCCUCACAGAGAAGUAGACACCAUUGAGCAGUGACUGAACGAUGAACCUGGACGGCAGGCUUUGCUUUCUGUCAUAGUGUUCCAUAGUCAGCGCCUCCCCUGAGGAUGCUGUGACAGAAGCUGGCGGUAUAGAACAUGGCAGAAGAGGCUGCAGAAGCGGGCUGUGAACGUUUCUUCCCAGAGCUGCAGGUUUGCCGUAGCUCUUUACCUUGACUGCUACAUGUCUAGGUGGGGAAAGUGUCCAGGUAGAUGCCAUUUCAACUGUGCCACAGUCUUAAUCCCCUGUGAAUUGCUCUGUAUUUCAAAACCAGAUAAUGGAAAAUGAACUGAAGUACAUAAAUAACAGCUAAUUUAUAAUUUGAAAAUAAGGCUUAUUUUGUAGUGGCCUGGGAAUUCAGAUUUGGAAAAUAUCUCUGACUUAAUUCAUAUUACAUAUUUAAAAAUUUGAUACUAAUCAGGGGUCUGUCAUAUUAUUUGUGUUAUCUGUAAACUCUUUCUAAAAAACCAACUUCAUUUUUUAAGUAUAAUUCAUUUGUUUGUGUCUUGAAACUAAAAAUUUAAUCUUUGCUUCUGUAUGUACCUUAAUUUGGAAAAUGUUUAUGUGUAACAAAAUUAUGAGCUGGA
rnacentral:lncRNA from 1 species